rnacentral:rRNA from 1 species
CGCGUGAGCGAAGAAGGUCUUCGGAUCUGUAAAGCUCUGUUGUUAGGGAAGAACAAGUAUCGGAGGAAAUGCCGGUACCUUGACGGUACCUGACGAGAAAGCCACGGCUAACUACGUGCCAGCAGCCGCGGUAAUA